rfam:Penicillium nalgiovense strain IBT 13039 PENNAL_contig0036, whole genome shotgun sequence.
ACUACGUGAUGAUCAAUUUUGAAUUUGCAAUCCUGACAACCACCUAUCAUAUGUGAGGUUGUGUGUUGACUCUUCUACACUUGAUCUGACC